rnacentral:rRNA from 1 species
UAGUCCACGCCGUAAACGAUGGAUACUAGCUGUUCGAUCUUCGGAUUGAGUGGCUAAGCGAAAGUGAUAAGUAUCCCACCUGGGGAGUACGUUCGCAAGAAUGAAACUCAAAGGAAUUGACGGGGGCCCGCACAAGCGGUGGAGCAUGUGGUUUAAUUCGAUGAUACGCGAGGAACCUUACCAGGGCUUAAAUGUAGUCUGACAGCUUUAGAGAUAGAGUUUUCUUCGGACAGAUUACAAGGUGCUGCAUGGUUGUCGUCAGCUCGUGCCGUGAGGUGUCAGGUUAAGUCCUAUAACGAGCGCAACCCCUGUUGUUAGUUGCCAGCGAGUAAUGUCGGGAACUCUAACAAGACUGCCGGUGCAAACCGUGAGGAAGGUGGGGAUGACGUCAAGUCAGCAUGCCCCUUAGUUCUGGGGCUACACACGUACUACAAUGGUUGGGGACAAAGGGGCAGCAAGCGAGCGAUCGUAAGCGAAUCUCAUCAAA